rnacentral:rRNA from 1 species
GGCCUACGGGACGCAGCAGUGGGGAAUAUUGGGCAAUGGGCGCAAGCCUGACCCAGCAACGCCGCGUGAAGGAAGAAGGCUUUCGGGUUGUAAACUUCUUUUAUUCGGGACGAAGAAAGUGACGGUACCGAAUGAAUAAGCCACGGCUAACUACGUGCCAGCAGCCGCGGUAAUACGUAGGUGGCAAGCGUUAUCCGGAUUUAUUGGGUGUAAAGGGCGUGUAGGCGGGAAUGCAAGUCAGAUGUGAAAACUCAGGGC